rnacentral:rRNA from 1 species
UACGGAGGGGGCUAGCGUUGUUCGGAAUUACUGGGCGUAAAGCGCGCGUAGGCGGCUUUGUAAGUUAGAGGUGAAAGCCCAGGGCUCAACCCUGGAAUUGCCUUUAAGACUGCAUCGCUUGAACAUCGGAGAGGUAAGUGGAAUUCCGAGUGUAGAGGUGAAAUUCGUAGAUAUUCGGAAGAACACCAGUGGCGAAGGCGACUACCUGGCCCACUCUUGACGCUGAGGCGCGAAAGCUAGGGGAGCAAACGGG